rnacentral:tRNA from 1 species
CAGAAAAUAGUAUAAUAAAAUAUGUAAAUUUUGGGGAUUUAUGUUGAGAGAUCUUUUCUGA